rnacentral:lncRNA from 1 species
UGGUGAUUAUGGUCUUCAUUGCGCCUGUUUGCAAAUUAGCUAGCAAGUUAGGUAGCGUUGGUCAAAUCUUGUUGCAAAUGCAAACAAAAUAAAUUUACCUUCAGUUUAAAACUGGCUGUACUUCCAAUUUAAUUAGUAGCGAAAGCGAAUAUCACGCUUAUACAGGAUGCUUUCUGGCUAUCAAAAAUAAAGCUGAUGACUAUACCACCUGCUGUCCACAACCGGAAGGGUUUCGGCGCGCUAUUUCUCCAGAACAAACAUACUAUUGGGAGAGAAGUCAUCUGCAGGCAUUGUUGAAGCAGCAUGAAGUGCAGCAGGUCCAUGUCCAGCUGGAAGAGGCUCAAGGACUGCUGAAGGUCAUGACGACAGAGGCAGAUGACCAGAUGAUGAGCGCAGAACUGGAAAAUGUCCUGCAUAUUGUCCCAAAUCACAGCUGCACUGUGGACACGCAACAGUAUUUGACUAACCAGAUCGAGCAGCUCAUAGGGGAGAAUCAGCAACUGAAAGUGGGGAAAUUUAGGGAAGAAUCUUUAUAGAACUUAGACUGUGACAACUAAUUCACAAUAUAGGAUACCUUAGCUAUUAGGUAGUUUCUGUUCAAAUUUGGGCAUUGUUGAUGCUGAAUGGCUGGAACAGGAAGAGCUAUGAAGAUAUAUUCCACAAAUAUGUCCUUUGAUCCAAGCUGAGUGUUUUAUAUUGCACUUCUUCUCGUAAGUGUUUCUUGCAUGUCAUCCGUACUCUAUACUGGUUGGUUUAACAGUCUGCAUUGAGACAGGCAGAGCUCAGACUCAGCAUAAUGGAAGGAGAGAAGGCCUGUCAGCAUGCUGUGCUCUCAGAAAAGAUCUGCAAUGUUGAUCAGCUUAGUUUAGAGAAACAGCAGAUGACCGCUGAGCUGGGAGUGCGGUGUAUGCAGCUUACCCAGCUGAAAGGUACAAACACAGAUUCAUCGAAAUCCCAAACCGCAUACCUGAUAUAAACUGACUUUAAAGUGUGUGUUGAACAAGUACAGUGUCCCUAAAAACUUGAACAUGUAAUUCUUGUGGUUACACUUUAUUUUAUAGUGUCCUUGUUACAGUGUAAUUAUACAUUUAAGUACUGAACAUCUAAGCACUUAUACAUCUAAGUACUUAAUUAGCUACAUGUACUUACUAUAUGGUUAGGGUUUGGCUUAGGGAAACUUGCAUGUAAUUAUGUAUAAUUAAUUGUUAUAAUAGUAAGUACAUGUAACAAGGACUCCUUAAAAUAAAGUGUUACCAUUCUUGCUUUUAUUGGAUUGUUAUUGUAUACAUUAUUUGGCAGAAACAAAAACUCAAAGCAAAUGUCAUCUGGGUCAGUGAUAUAUAACAUCCAUAGUAUCCACAAUUA